AGCUCCAAUAGCGUAUAUUAAAGUUGUUGCAGUUAAAAAGCUCGUAGUUGGAUUUCUGGUGGGGCUGUCGGCCUGGCUCCGAAAGGGGUCGUGGUUAGUACACGCCUGGCCAUCCUCGGGGGAAGCUUUGCUGGCAUUAAGUUGUCGGCGGAGUGACGCUCGUCGUUUACUGUGAACAAAUUAGAGUGUUCAAAGCAGGCUUAGGCCGUUGAAUACAUUAGCAUGGAAUAAUGAGAUAGGACUUUGGUGGUCUAUUUUGUUGGUUUGCACGCCGAAGUAAUGAUUAAUAGGGGCGGUUGGGGGUAUUCGUAUUCAAUUGUCAGAGGUGAAAUUCUUGGAUUUAUGGAAGACGAACUACUGCGAAAGCAUUUACCAAGGAUGUUUUCA
rnacentral:rRNA from 1 species